GAUGAACGCUGGCGGCGUGCCUAAUACAUGCAAGUAGAACGCUGAAGGAGGAGCUUGCUCUUCUGGUUGAGUUGCGAACGGGUGAGUAACGCGUAGGUAACCUGCCUGGUAGCGGGGGAUAACUAUUGGAAACGAUAGCUAAUACCGCAUGACAACAGUUAUUGCAUGAUAACUGUUUAAAAGGUGCAACUGCUCCACUACCAGAUGGACCUGCGUUGUAUGGGCUAGUUGGUGAGGUAACGGCUCACUAAGGCGACGAUACAUAGCCGACCUGAGAGGGUGGUCGGCCGGACUGGGACGGAGACAGGGCCCAGAGUGCUACGGGAGGCAGCAGUAGGGAAUCUUCGGCAAUGGACGGAAGUCUGACCGAGAUACGCCGCGUGAGGGAAGAAGGGUGUCGGGUCGUAGAGCUCGGUUGUAAGGGAAGAACGAGUGUGAGAGUGGGAAGAUCACACUGUGACGGUAUCUGACAAGAAAGGAACGGCUAACUACGUG
rnacentral:rRNA from 1 species